UGGGGUAUCGCCAAGCGGUAAGGCACCGGUUUUUGAUACCGGCAUUCCCUGGUUCGAAUCCAGGUACCCCAGCAA
rnacentral:tRNA from 3 species